UACGUAGGGUGCGAGCGUUGUCCGGAAUUAUUGGGCGUAAAGAGCUCGUAGGCGGUGUGUCACGUCGGCCCGUGAAAACCUGCAGCUUAACUGUGGGCGUGCGGUCGAUACGGGCAUCACUGGAGUUCGGCAGGGGAGACUGGAAUUCCUGGUGUAGCGGUGGAAAUGCGCAGAUAUCAGGAGGAACACCGGUGGCGAAGGCGGGUCUCUGGACAGUUCCUGACGGCUGAGGCACGAAGGUCAGGGAGCAAACGGG
rnacentral:rRNA from 1 species